ACUCCUACGGGAGGCAGCAGUGGGGAAUAUUGGACAAUGGGGAAACCGUGAUCCAGCCAUGCCGCGUGUGUGAAGAAGGCCUUCGGGUUGUAAAGCACUUUCAGUGGGGAGGAAAGGUUGAUGGUUAAUACCUAUCAGCUGUGACGUUACCCACAGAAGAAGCACCGGCUAACUCCGUGCCAGCAGCCGCGGUAAUACGGAGGGUGCAAGCGUUAAUCGGAAUUACUGGGCGUAAAGCGUGCGCAGGCGGUCUGUUAAGCGAGAUGUGAAAGCCCC
rnacentral:rRNA from 1 species